rnacentral:rRNA from 1 species
GACGAACGCUGGCGGUGUGCUUAAUGCAUGCAAGUCGAACGAGAUCCUCCCGCUGGGUAACCAGAGGGAACGAUCUAGUGGCGAACGGGUGAGUAACACGUGAGGAACCUGCCCUGGAGACCGGAAUAGCCCGGGAAACCCGGAUUAAUACCGGAUACCCUCGAUUGAUCGCAUGGUCGAUCGAGGAAAUGGUCCGCCGUUUCGGGAGGGCUUCGCGGCCUAUCAGCUUGUUGGUGAGGUAACGGCUCACCAAGGCAACGACGGGUAGCUGGUCUGAGAGGACGACCAGUCACACUGGGACUGAGACACGGCCCAGACUCCUACGGGAGGCAGCAGCAGGGAAUAUUGCGCAAUGGGCGAAAGCCUGACGCAGCGACGCCGCGUGAGGGAUGAAUGCCUUCGGGUUGUAAACCUCUUUCAGUGGAGAAGAAGCGAAAGUGACGGUAUCCACAGAAGAAGCCCCGGCCAACUACGUG